rnacentral:lncRNA from 1 species
CCUAAGUCUCUGACAUCUUGUACAAGACCGAAGACAGACAAUGGAAAAUAAAUGAUGAUCAUCAAGUGUCUGCCAAAUGCUUUCUCUUAUCCAUCCCUGGAGCACCAUGUUCCUCUGCUUUGUAGCACUAUUCAGAGGACUUGUGUUACUUCCAUUUGUGAGAUGAUUUUCUUAUUGUAAAUCUUCUUCCACUACUUUGUGAACUCAACAAGCAGAGGGUGUGUGACUGUCAUAUUUGCCAUUCUACUCUCCAGCACUGCACAGUACCUCUGGCACAUAGGAGAUCUUCAAUAAAAUUUGCUAAAUUUAUGAACAAAUGAGUAGCUUAAAUGAAGGGAACCAUGCCUAAAUUAAAGAAAGACUCCAUGCAGUAUAACCAAGUCAAACAAAUUCUAAUUCUGAAAAGAAGAUAGAGUACAUGUGCUCUGGAACAUCUCUUUGGGUGGGGUGUUGGGCUGUUUCUUCCAAUUAUAUCACUCACAGCACAGGACUGAAAUGAUUAGGACUUUCUGACAAGUUCAGCUUUGUGUUACUUUGCCUUGGGCUCAGGAGACAGAAGUAAUCCUAGGAAAUUAACAAUAAUUUAUCCAGUUAUAGGCACUGGAGAUUAAAAAUAAAAAUAUAAAGGAAAGUAAGCAACAACCUCUGUCAUCGCAACAUGCAGACAGGCAGCAUCAUUUUUCCAAGAAGAGAUGCCAUCCUUUAUAUCCAAGACCCAAGUUAUGUGCAUGACUUCCUUUAUCCUAUAUAUUAUCUUUGCCAAAUUCUUCCCUAAGACCUGAAGAAAGGGUUUAAGAAAAUUUAUUAUCAUUAUUAUUUUUUAGAGACAGGGUAUCUCUCUGUCACCCAGGCUGGAGUGUAGUGGCCCUCGCUGCAGCCUCAAACUACUGGGCUCAAGCAAUCCUCCCACCUUGGCUCCAGAAGUACUGAAAUUACUGGCCUGAGCCACCACGCCUACCCACGGGUAUAAGAAAGUUAAAUUUGACUGAUAACACUGACUGUGUAAUCUUUAACAAGUUAAUUUAUCUGUGCCUCAGUUUCUCCACCUUUACACUGGUGAUAAUAACAGCAACCACUUCCCAGAGUUAUUGGGAGGAUAACAUGGAUUAAUAUUGGAAAGUCCUGGAAGUUGUACCUGGGACAUAGUUAGCACUAGUUAAGUGUUGGCUAUUAUUAAUAAUUACUAUAACACAAAAUUAGUGCCUUAAAAUUUUAAGAGAGGUAAAAUAGCACACCACUUUAGUAGAAUUUCUUUUUUCCUUAGGCACUCAGAGGGAUAGAAAAAAGAUAAAGAUGACACUCAUAACAUGAAUUCAGAAGAACAUUUGAUACAUUCUUCCAUAUUAUUCUUACCUUCAGUGGCUAGACAGCAUUUAGAGAUAGUGCUACUAAAUAAUAAUUAUCUUAAAUAGAUGAAAUGUCAGUUAAGCUAGACACAGUAUCAUCCUCUUCAUUAUACUUAUAGAGCAAUUCACAAUAACAAGCUUUCACAUAUAUCUCAUUUAACAUUAUAAUAACCCUGAGAAUUAUUACCACCUCUAUCUUUAGAGGAAACAAAUGAGGCUAAUAUAGAUUGGAUAACUCACACAAAGUCACACAUCUAAUUGAUAGUAGCACCAAAAUUCAAACCAGCCCUUCUGAAUGUAAGCCUAGUAUCCUUCUAAGGAAAAAAAAAAAAAAGUUGCCACAAUUAAACAAAAAAUACAGAACAAAACGGUGAGCUCAAGUGCUUCUUUAAGAGACGUUUUUUAAACGGACAAUUUCUUAAAAAGAGUUUCAUAGCCCUAAAAUAAACCUAUUUUAAGAAACUCAUUUGGAAACAUUUUAAUAAAGAGUAUUAGGAAGUAUGAAAUAUAGUGCUUUGAAUUUUCCAAUUUGGAGUAGUCAAAUAUCACUGCUAAUUGAUUCCUAUACUAUGAGCUAGCCUAGUAAGUAAUUACUUUGAUCUCUCUUAAGAGUCAGGGCUACCUAAUUAGAUGGUUACUGAAGUAGCCACUGAAUGAGGUAUUGGUAAAAUCAGGAUUAACACAUAUUCUAAAAGCUACUCAACUCAAAGCAUCUGGCUCAAUAUGUUCUCAAAGACAGAUAUGGUAACAUAUUCUUACAUAUAAUUAUAAAAGCAAGGUUUUCAAGUAAUCCAAACAAACAACAAACCAAAUUCCACCCUCAGUUCUUGCCUAUGCUUACAAAUAUUUAGCAGUAAUUUACUUGUGCGUAUUUUUACAAGUUUAUUUUUCAAUGAAACUCUAAUCUAUAAUGAAAAGUCUUCCAGUCACGCCAAAGCCUAAUUCAAUUGAUAAAUAACAUUUUGAUAUAGAUUUAAUAAUCAUUAACUUGUGAGGUUUUUUUUUUAAUCUCAGAUUUGGAUUCUUACUCUACCUUUGCCACAAGUACUUCUUUAUAAAAUCCAAAUGCCUAUUCUUUAAAAUCUCUUUAAAACAAGAAUUUUAGAUCCCAAGAGAUAAAUCAAAAUGGAGAUCAAUUUUAGCUUCUUUCAACACAGAUUUGUGGAUGAUAUUGAAUAAUUGCUUCUUCUAGACUGUGUUAAAUGGUGAACAAAAUGAAUUCAUUUAAGUAAAUCUUGAUCUCUAUUUGAACAUAUAUAAAAUUGCA